UACGAAGGGGGCUAGCGUUGUUCGGAAUCACUGGGCGUAAAGCGCACGUAGGCGGAUUGUUAAGUCAGAGGUGAAAUGCCAGGGCUCAACCUUGGAACUGCCUUUGAUACUGGCAAUCUCGAGUCCGGGAGAGGUGAGUGGAACUGCGAGUGUAGAGGUGAAAUUCGUAGAUAUUCGCAAGAACACCAGUGGCGAAGGCGGCCCACUGGCCCGGUACUGACGCUGAGGUGCGAAAGCGUGGGGAGCAAACAGG
rnacentral:rRNA from 1 species